GUGGAUGUAGCUCAAUGGAAGAGCACCUGACUGUUAAUCAGGAAGUCGCAGGUUCGAAUCCUGCCAUCUACG
rnacentral:tRNA from 1 species